rnacentral:rRNA from 1 species
AUCAUCGAAUCUUUGAACGCAUCUUGCGCUCCUUGGUAUUCCGAGGAGCAUGCCUGUUUGAGUGUCAUUA